rnacentral:rRNA from 1 species
GUGCACAGAUGGGAUUUGCUUGUAGGUGGGGUAACGGCUCACCUAGGCGACGAUCCCUAGCUGGGCUGAGAGGAUGAACAGCCACACUGGAACUGAGACGCGGUCCAGACUCCGUCGGGAGGCAGCAGUGGGGAAUAUUGCACAAUGGGCGCAAGCCUGAUGCAGCCAUGCCGCGUGUGUGAAGAUGGCCUUCGGGUUGUAAAGCACUUUCAGCGGGGAGGAAGGCGGUGAGGUUAAUAACCUCAUCGAUUGACGUUACCCGCAGAAGAAGCACCGGCUAACUC